GACGAACGCUGGCGGCGUGCUUAACACAUGCAAGUCGAACGGAAAGGCCCCUUUGGGGGUACUCGAGUGGCGAACGGGUGAGUAACACGUGAGUAACCUGCCCUUGACUUCGGGAUAACUUCAGGAAACUGGGGCUAAUACCGGAUAGGAAUCCUUGCUGCAUGGUGGGGGUUGGAAAGCUUCGGCGGUUUUGGAUGGACUCGCGGCUUAUCAGCUUGUUGGUGGGGUAGUGGCUUACCAAGGCUUUGACGCGUAGCCGGCCUGAGAGGGCGACCGGCCACAUUGGGACUGAGAUACGGCCCAGACUCCUACGGGAGGCAGCAGUGGGGAAUAUUGCACAAUGGGCGGAAGCCUGAUGCAGCAACGCCGCGUGCGGGAUGACGGCCUUCGGGUUGUAAACCGCUUUCAGCAGGGGCGAAGCUUGUGGUGACGGUACCUGCAGAAGAAGCACCGGCUAACUACGUG
rnacentral:rRNA from 1 species